rnacentral:rRNA from 1 species
UCGAGAAUCUUCGGCAAUGGGCGAAAGCCUGACCGAGCGACGCCGCGUGCGGGAUGAAGGCCCUUGGGUUGUAAACCGCUGUCAGAGGGGAUGAAAUGCCAGAGAGUUCUCUCUUUGGUUUGACAUAGCCUCAGAGGAAGCACGGGCUAAGUUCGUGCCAGCAGCCGCGGUAAUACGAACUGUGCAAACGUUAUUCGGAAUCACUGGGCUUAAAGGGUGCGUAGGCGGCUGUCUAAGCAGGGUGUGAAAGCCCCCGGCUCAACCGGGGAAUUGCGUUCUGAACUGGACGGCUGGAGUGGGAUAGGGGUGUGUGGAACUUCCGGUGGAGCGGUGAAAUGUGUUGAUAUCGGAAGGAACGCCGGUGGCGAAAGCGACACACUGGGUCUCAACUGACGCUGAGGCACGAAAGCCAGGGGAGCGAACGGGAUUAGAUACCCGCGUAGUCC